UUUUAAACAUAUUUUUGCAUGCCGGUUGUUAAGUUAAAGCAAGUGAUAACUAUAGCAACAACUGCAAAAACACUAAUUCUUAUCAAUAAAUAAAAAACGAAUUAUUAAAAAUUUAAAACAACAAAAACAUUCCCUGCACUACGGCAAUGGGCUGGCAGAAAAAAAUGAACGUAACAUUUGAUAACUAUAAAUUUUAACAACAAAAACCACAAUAAAACAUAUAAUCAUUACAAAAAAAAACUAUAAAAAACUUACUGAAAAAAUAAAAUAGUUUAAAGUACAAAGUGCAGUAAAAAAACAACAACAAUAAACAAUAUAAAUCAUAAAGCAACAACAGCAGACAUCAGCCGAACACUCAGCUGCAGCAUAAAACCGGCAA